UACUAAAGAAUUGCUUUCUCUUGCCUCAUCCGGCGGACACUUCUAGGUUCCAUUAUUUCACUGAAGUGAGCUCCAUGAGAGAGGAUUCCACAAGGUGAGGUCCGCCGUGAGGGGUGGCCAGCGAUGUGAGGGAGCAGCCGCGACCAGCGCUAGCAGACUCCAACGCGCCCAAGCCCCGGCCAAGGCUAUAGCAGCUGCUUUCGCGUGCCGUCGUUCCCCUCCAGCAGAUCCCUGGGAGAAGGCGGGGAACUGCAGGGCGUCCGACCGGCUGGGUGAAGCGCCGCUUCGCCGUGAUGUCGCAGGAGGUCGUGUAGGCGCACAUCAAGAUGGCGUACAUCACCAUUACGGCCACCUUUUCUGCUCAGACACUUUGUCGGCGUGGGUGCUGCGAACGGAGCUGAAGUCAACGCGGAUGCCGAUGGUUGCUGGAGAGCUUACCCUGGACGUGGAUGGAGUCGUCGUAGUAGCGGCAAAAGAGCGCCUGGCCUCCAGGCAGAAGACGAUGGCGGCGAUAGCACGUGUGUUCCCGGAGGAAGAUGAAGCUCCUCAUGCUUCCCCCAUCGUGGCUAGCGUGCAUGAUGGCGGCAAGUGGCUCACCAUUAGCUUCCUAAUAGGAUGGAUGCAUCUGAGAUAAGUUUUUUAAUAGGAUGGAUUUGUCUGAGAUUAGUUUCCUAAUAGGAUGGAUUUGUCUGAGAUUAGUUUCCUAGAAUAGGAUGCACCAGUGAUUAUUAGUUUCCUAAUUGCUCAGGCGUGGAGUUUCAUAUUUUCCUCCACGGUGGAGUACGGCCAGUCAAUGUAAAUUGCUAAGUGCACACAGAAAAUGGUUUAGGUUAAGGCUAACCGUUAGAUUGA